rnacentral:misc_RNA from 1 species
AUCCUACCAAACAUUUGUAAAAUUUAUCCAGUUAGAAGCUAGAAUAUUUAUUUAUUGUACGUCGCUGUAUAAUAUAUCUACAUUUGCAUCCUGAUAUCUACAUUUGCAUUGCUGAUAUUGUAAUACCUUCAAUCAACUAACAACGAAUAAAUUAAAAUAUAGUUAAAUCAACAUAACUCAGACGAAAUAACUACGUUGCCAAUUGUCUAUCCCUAAUAACUUUAAUCCUCUCCCGUGCCAGUAUUCCUGCGCAUAGCAGGUUAGCCGAAAGGUGGAAUUCGUUUGCCAGUUGCAUCAAACCGAUCGUCAACGCUAGCCACGCGCCGUCCGUACGGACUGCAUAGGCUGCGAGUAUUUAGCACUCCAAGAGUUAGGAGGACGCGUGUGUAAGCAGCCGUAAAGAGGACGCAGCCGUGAGUGCGGUCGAAAUCUCCGGAAAAACUGGAGAAUUCGGACAAGGAAGUUAACCAAAGUGAAAGGCUAGUACCUGUGAACAAAAGUGAGUGCAGGAACCAAUGGAAUCCGGUCUGGAAAGACGUUACAGGCGAAAAUGAACCGAG